UACGUAGGGUGCGAGCGUUAAUCGGAAUUACUGGGCGUAAAGCGUGCGCAGGCGGCGCGUUAAGACAGGUGUGAAAGCCCCGAGCUUAACUUGGGAAUUGCGCUUGUGACUGGCGUGCUGGAGUGUGGCAGAGGGAGGUGGAAUUCCACGUGUAGCAGUGAAAUGCGUAGAGAUGUGGAGGAACACCGAUGGCGAAGGCAGCCCCCUGGGCCAAUACUGACGCUCAUGCACGAAAGCGUGGGGAGCAAACAGG
rnacentral:rRNA from 1 species